GGAGUUGAACUGUUCUGUCAUACUUUUCCCCACGCUCUAAAAACAGGGAUGAGUCUCCUGGUUUGAAGCCGACAGAUCUUACCAGUUUGUCCACGCGGUAGAGGACGUCUGCUGGUCACCGCUGUGUCUCCAGGCGUCUUAGCUGAAGCCGACUGACAAAGAUCGAGACAGAGGUGCGUUAUUGGAUCUGUCGGAGGAAAAGCACCACUGUGACGAGGACUGACCUGGAGGGAGGACAGAGGAGGAGAGGACUGGUCUCUGGAUCUGCAGCAGCUGCUGCUGCUGCAACUGAAGGAGGUGCUGGAACAUGAGGUGCUGAGGAGAGAGCUGGAGAGAGAGGAAAAAACACAUGCUGUCUACCUGCUGAAGAAGAAGACUCUGCUGCUUCUGCUGGAUCAGAUCCUGAAGUUGACUUGGAGACAGAAGCUGCUGUUUCUGCUGCAGGGACAUCCUGGCCGCAGACAGCUACAGCAGGAGAGACGGAGUGAAGGUGAGAGGACGCCUGAGCCAGACAAAGGGCAGGUGUCAAGUGUUCAACAGUAAUGUCCAUCAGACGCAAAUCUUUCCAAUCCAAUUAGAAAACAGUGCCGUCGACUGUUUAGGAACAUCGUGAUGCUGGAUUGUGUCAUUGACCCUAAAUGAGAUGGAGAUGGACUGAGCAGUUAAUUAGCAGCACAAUUACAUGCUUGUUGUGACCGGUAAUAGAAGUGUACGGAUAUUAAUAAAGGCAAACUCUCACAGAAUAAUAACUGCUCUGCACUGGUACCGAUUGUCUGACAUCACGUCACGAUGAUCGCCUGCGUCUGCCUUUGUGGACAAACAGACGCAGCAGCAAUUUGUUUUUUUUUACAAGAGAUCCCUAGAAAAGAUUUAAUAAUUCUGAAAAAAAAAAAAUUCAAAAUAGUUUUGAAUUUAAC